AUGAGAAUGUGCCUUCGGGAACCGUGAGACAGGUGCUGCAUGGCUGUCGUCAGCUCGUGUUGUGAAAUGUUGGGUUAAGUCCCGCAACGAGCGCAACCCUUAUCCUUUGUUGCCAGCGAUUAGGUCGGGAACUCAAAGGAGACUGCCAGUGAUAAACUGGAGGAAGGUGGGGAUGACGUCAAGUCAUCAUGGCCCUUACGACCAGGGCUACACACGUGCUACAAUGGCGCAUACAAAGAGAAGCGACCUCGCGAGAGCAAGCGGACCUCAUAAAGUGCGUCGUAGUCCGGAUUGGAGUCUGCAACUCGACUCCAUGAAGUCGGAAUCGCUAGUAAUCGUGGAUCAGAAUGCCACGGUGAAUACGUUCCCGGGCCUUGUACACACCGCCCGUCACACCAUGGGAGUGGGUUGCAAAAGAAGUAGGUAGCUUAACCUUCGGGAGGGCGCUUACCACUUUGUGAUUCAUGACUGGGGUGAAGUCGUAACAAGGUAACCGUAGGGGAACCUGCGGUUGGA
rnacentral:rRNA from 1 species